rnacentral:rRNA from 1 species
UACGGAGGGUGCAAGCGUUGUCCGGAUUUAUUGGGUUUAAAGGGUGCGUAGGUGGCCUGGUAAGUCCGUGGUGAAAGCCUCUUGCUCAACAAGAGAACUGCCAUGGAUACUGCCGGGCUUGAGUCCAGACGAGGUUGGCGGAAUAGAGGCUGUAGCGGUGAAAUGCAUAGAUAGCCUCUAGAACCCCGAUUGCGUAGGCAGCUGACUAGGCUGGUACUGACACUGAGGCACGAAAGCGUGGGGAGCGAACAAGG